rnacentral:rRNA from 1 species
AUUCCAGCUCCAAUAGCGUAUAUUUAAGUUGUUGCAGUUAAAAAGCUCGUAGUUGGAUUUCGGUUGAGAGCGGCCGGUCCGCCGUUUGGUGUGCACUGGCUGGUUUCAGCUUCCUGCAGAGGACGCGCUCUGGGCUUAAUCGUCUGGACGUGGAGUCUGCGUGGUUACUUUGAAAAAAUUAGAGUGUUCAAAGCGGGCUUACGCUUGAAUAUUUCAGCAUGGAAUAACACUAUAGGACUCCUGUCCUAUUUCGUUGGUCUCGGGACGGGAGUAAUGAUUAAGAGGAACAGUUGGGGGCAUUCGUAUUUCAAUGUCAGAGGUGAAAUUCUUGGAUUUUUGAAAGACGAACUUCUGCGAAAGCAUUUGCCAAGGAUGUUUUCAUUG